AGAGUUUGAUCCUGGCUCAGGACGAACGCUGGCGGCGCGCUUAACACAUGCAAGUCGUACGGGCAGCUUCGGCUGUCAGUGGCGAACGGGUGCGUAACACGUGGGCGACCUGCCGGGGCGCGGGGGACAACCCAGGGAAACUUGGGCUAAUACCGCAUGCGCUCAACGAGCUUCAUGGCUUGUUGAGGAAACCUGCUUUCAAGCAGGGUGCUCCGAGGGGCCCGCGGCGUAUCAGGUAGUUGGUGAGGUAACGGCUCACCAAGCCGACGACGCGUAGCUGGUCUGAGAGGACGACCGGCCACAUUGGGACUGAGAUACGGCCCAGACUCCUACGGGAGGCAGCAGUGGGGAAUCUUGCGCAAUGGACGAAAGUCUGACGCAGCGACGCCGCGUGCGGGAGGAAGCCCUUCGGGGUGUAAACCGCUGUCACCGGGGAAGAACGCCGUAGGGAGGAAAUGCCUUACGGGUGACGGUACCCGGGGAGGAAGCACCGGCUAACUCUGUGCCAGCAGCCGCGGUAAUACAGAGGGUGCGAGCGUUGUUCGGAAUUACUGGGCGUAAAGCGCGCGCAGGCGGCCUUUUAAGUCUCACCGUUCAAGCCCGGAGCUCAACUCCGGUCCGCGGGGGAUACUGGGAGGCUAGGGACAUGUAGGGGCGAGCGGAAUUCCGGGUGUAGCGGUGGAAUGCGUAGAGAUCCGGAAGAACACCGGGGGCGAAGGCGGCUCGCUGGGCAUGGUCCGACGCUGAGGCGCGAAAGCGUGGGGAGCGAACAGGAUUAGAUACCCCCGUAGUCC
rnacentral:rRNA from 1 species